UACAUCACAUCACACUGUUGUCACUGUGGCCCAGAAAGUGCCAACUCUCAUGAAACCGUGUGUCUCUCCUCUUCUGAAGUGAGAUGGAGUGUCUGCUGUUCUUGGAAGUUAACGUGACGUCAUUUCCCUGCGGCUUCUUCUGAAAUUCACUGCCAGAGCUCAUGAACAUCCGGAGUGGCCCUUUUCCAGAGGAAUGUAAAUGCUAACAGAUGCUUUCUCCAGAUGACUGCACAGAUGUCCUUCACUGCUGGUGAUAUCCCACAAUCCUGUGCAUGCAACUCACAGUUGGUGGAAUAUAAAAAAAUUGGCUGAAACAA